UACAGGGGGGGCAAGCGUUGUUCGGAAUUACUGGGCGUAAAGGGCGCGUAGGCGGCCAACUAAGUCACACGUGAAAUCCCCAGGCUUAACCUGGGAACUGCGUGUGAUACUGGAUGGCUUGAAUUCGGGAGAGGGAUGCAGAAUUCCAGGUGUAGCGGUGAAAUGCGUAGAUAUCUGGAGGAAUACCGGUGGCGAAGGCGGCAUCCUGGACCGACAUUGACGCUGAGGCGCGAAAGCUAGGGGAGCAAACUGG
rnacentral:rRNA from 1 species